AAUUUUUUAUAUCCAGUAAACUCCAGUCGUGCGUCGGAGCGGACACACACACUUUUUUUUGGAGUUUACUCCUUUAGAAUCGAUUUACAUAUAUAGGCCCGGGGUAUGAAAAUUAUGGGGACCAAAAUCGUACUAGCAUGUCACACGAAAUGCGUUAUGCGCCUGAUUGGCUCCUGAUUGCGUGAUGCGUGCGCGCGCCAAUCAAAAUCGUACUAGCAUGUCACACGAAAUGCGUUAUGCGCCUGAUUGGCUCCUGAUUGCGUGAUGCGUGCGCGCGCCAAUCAAAAUCGUACUAGCAUGUCACACGAAAUGCGUUAUGCGCCUGAUUGGCUCCUGAUUGCGUGAUGCGUGCGCGCGCCAAUCAGGAGCCAACGCGCGGCCGCGUUAUCGCAGGUGACGCCGGGCUGCUGCGCCGGCAGUCCGCCACAAAGCCUCGUACUGAUCGCGCGUUUCUCUCAUUAUUGUAUUUUCAUAUAUUUGUUAGUCGUUUGUUUUGUGUCUCGUUAAUUUGUUAAUAAUCUGUAGUGUAUCGUGUUGUCGUAAUAUAGAACUAUUUCUCGUAUUGUUUCGUUUAAUUUUUUAUAUCCAGUAAACUCCAGUCGUGCGUCGGAGCGGACACACACACUUUUUUUUUAUUCUAAAUUAUAACUAUAAUUUAACCAGCAUAUUGUAGACUAUCAUAAACACAUUUGUUUAUAACAAAAAGUAAUAAAAACAUAUGUAGAUUUUUUUAAAUUGGACGUAUUGCUAUUUUUAUCCUAGUCGAAAUUAUGAAACGAAACGUUUUGACAGUCCGUUUGCCAAUAAGCAGUGAUCAGUUUCUUUUGUUUGUUUUUCUAUUGUUUACCUACUAUAUUAGAUGAUGACUUACCUCCAAAACGCUUUAAAACUUUCGUUUAUAAUUCUAAGUGUGCUUAUAAUUAAAGAGCUACAGUGAAAUAAAAUGAAUUCUUCAAGAAAGGCAGCACCCAUGACAAAAGAUGAGACGAUGAUUCUAGCAGAAUUUGUGGCGGCGAAAAAACAUUUCAAUAAUAAGGCAACAAAUGCCACAAACAAUAAAUUGAAGGAGCAGGCUUGGCAAACCCUUGUAAAUGAUUUUAAUUCGUCGAUUCGUCGUUUCCCACGAACUCCAUCGCAGCUUCGACUAAAAUGGGAAAACUUAAAGAACGCUACGGCAACAUAAGAAACAACCUUAGUAAGGCUGGAGGUGGUAAGGAUUGCAGAUGAAAUUUUGGAUAAAGCAUGCACAUUGUUGUAGGUCACACAUAAUAUUUUUAACACUUUUACAGCCAAGCGGAAACAAGAUGGAAGAAAAGAAAUGCAAGGCUAGCAUAGGGACAAUACAUUAGCAGAAUAUCUAAUAGCAAAAAAGAGACUUGACUUGGAAAAUAAAGAAAAGGAGAUUGUUGUAGCAAAAGUUAAGUUAGAUUUAGAUAAUUUAAAAAAUUAAAAAUUACUUAAAAGGAAUAUUAAAUUUCAUAAAUUAAGUAGGCAAUAAUAAUUUUAUGUUCGAUAGUUUUUUAAGUAUAUGUACAAAUUCUAAAUUAAAUAUCUUGUAUGUACUAACUACCAUGUAAUUAUCAUUUUGGAAAAUAAAAAAUAGUCAAAUUAUCUUUGGAGUUUAUUUUAUAAAUUAUCUUUGGAAGCAAUUAUUUAUAAGUACAUAGUUGUAUUUCAGAUGUAAGUUUUGAAAAAUUGUUACGAACAAUUAUAUUAUUUUCCUGUAAUGUAUCUGCGACUGAAAUUUCUGAUUCUAAUUCUUCUAAAUUCAUACUUCUGACGAUAUUAUGCAGCAUGGCAGCUAUAAUAACAGCUUGCAUGUUUUCUAGUUUUAAUCUACUUUUCAAUGAUAUACAGGGAGUCUUCUUUUACAAACACCAAUGCAUCUGAAAAUUAUACAUUAUUCGCUUAAAUUAUUUUACAAUACAGUAUAACAAGCUCUUAACUAAAAAAAAAGAUUACCUCUCUAUAGUAUUUCUUGUUUUAAUAUGUGAUUCAUUUUAAAUCGUUCCGAUUGAGUAUGUGGGUUAAUUAAUCACGUUAAAAGAUAGGGUUGUGGGGAUAGCCUCUAUCGGCAAGCAAAUAGCAAUUUCCAAGUCCACCUUGUUAUCAAUGUUCUCUUGAUAUGUAGAUAAUUUAUUAUAAUAGUGUCAUAUUAAAUUCAUAUAAACACCUAAAUAUAUAAUAUAAAUAAAUAAAAAUAUAAUAAUAAUAUAUAAUAAUAAUAAUAUAAAUAAGGUAAUAUAAAUAAGAAAUACCUUUUCAAUCGGAAUGGUUAAUUAUAGUUGUAUCAUGAGUAGACCCAGGCCAUCAAGCAACAACAUUUUGAAACAUCAAUGAUGCAUUGCACACAAAUUACACAUUCAAAAUACUCUUUUUCUAUUUCUAAAUUCCUCUCCUAUAUUUGAAUCUGUAACACAAAUAUAAAAUGUAGAGGUAUCAGUGUGUAAUAAGAAUGAAGGUAAAUAGCCUACCAGGUUAUUGUAUUAGUAUAUGAAUGUCAUUUAGGGCACCAUGGGAAUCCAGCAGUAUUAUAGAAUUCCUGUUGAGUGUGAUUUUGUAACACAACAAAAAUUAGGUAUAAUUUUGCUAUUGCUAUAAACAAAUAUAAGUUGUAAUAACGAGUACUUUUAUGGUUAAAAUUUAUCUUACCUUUUUG